rnacentral:tRNA from 1 species
GGGCGGGUUCCCGAGUGGCCAAAGGGAGCAGACUGUAAAUCUGCCAGCACAGCUUUCGAAGGUUCGAAUCCUUCCCCUCCCA